UACGUAGGGGGCAAGCGUUGUCCGGAUUUAUUGGGCGUAAAGAGCGUGUAGGCGGUUUGGUAGGUCCGUUGUGAAAACUCGAGGCUCAACCUCGAGACGCCGAUGGAAACCCUCCAGCUAGAGUCCGGAAGAGGAGACUGGAAUUCCUGGUGUAGCGGUGAAAUGCGCAGAUAUCAGGAGGAACACCGGUGGCGAAGGCGGGUCUCUGGGCCGAUACUGACGCUGAGGAGCGAAAGCGUGGGGAGCGAACAGG
rnacentral:rRNA from 1 species